CGAGAAGACCCUAUGGAGCUUUAGACACCAAGGCAGCUCAUGUCAAAAACCCUACAAUAAAAGAUUGAACCAAAUGAGCCCUGCCCUAAUGUCUUUGGUUGGGGCGACCUAGG
rnacentral:rRNA from 1 species